UACGAAGGGAGCAAGCGUUGCUCGGAAUAAUUGGGCGUAAAGGGUGCGUAGGCGGUCUUUUAAGUGAUAUGUUAAAUACUCGGACUCAAUCUGAGAAAUGCGUGUCAUACUGAUAGACUCGAGUGUGGGAGAAGGAAAUAGGAAUUCCUCAUGUAGAGGUGAAAUUCAUAGAUAUGAGGAGGAACACCAGAAGCGAAGGCGAAUUUCUGGAACACAACUGACGCUGAGGCACGAAAGCGUGGGGAGCAAACAGG
rnacentral:rRNA from 1 species